rnacentral:rRNA from 1 species
AUGCGUGAUCAGGUCAGCCUGGACCUGGACGGCUUCCCUCUUGACCAUGAGUUUUCGGAGGACUACGGGCUAGAGGAAGAGGACGAGUGCGACAUCGAAGGGGAGCCUUUGUUCGAGGACAAGCUCGCCAACCAAGCCGUCGGGCCGAAGCCAAAGCACAAGAGCAAGCGAACCAAGGCAUACACGGCGGCCGAGGACAAGCUUCUUUGCGAGUGUUGGAGAGAUAUUGGGCAAGUCCCCAAGACGGGCACCAAACAAAAGCAUUCAACCUUUUGGAUUCGUGUCCACCGUGAGUUCCAUCAGCGCAAGAAGUUUCCGCCGUACCAAAUAGUAAGCGCGCGCGGGUGGUGUCCAUUUCGAAGCGAUGGAGGGUGA